rnacentral:lncRNA from 1 species
CAGCGAUGCCGCCGCCGGCCACAAGGUGGCAGUGCCGUGCUGCGUGGCUACACGCCCCUGGAAGCACCGGACCAGCCUUGGACUCCCGAAAGAAGCCUGGUGUAACUGAGUCUGGAAUUUUUGCUGGGCUUGCUAGGUCUACACUCUCCCACCUGUGCUCCGAGGAGAGGUGUAGACUAUCUCUUGGAUUUUGCUUGGAGGAUGUCCUUUCCGGACUCAGGACCUAGGAGAGACCAGCAGGAAACAGAACAGAGUCUACAUAGGUGAAUAUCAAAGAAUCACCUGGAGAGAUUUACAGGUGUGUCCUGGAUUUGGG